GAGUCCGCGUAACCCUUUACCUGAGCUGCCCGCGCCGCGCCCGGGCUUCCGGAGCGCCACCGCCGACCCCCCGAGCCCGGGCUGGCCUGCGGGGCGCACCCAAACAGAAAACCCCGGAGUUCGGCCUCUGAUCACCGACACCCCGGCUGCAUGCCAGCCUCUGUCCGCGCAGGGAAACUUUUUGGUGCCUAUUUUGCCGUCGUGCUGCAGGGAGAAGGGAGCUUCCUGAUUUGGGACCAUUUCCGACUUGGGUCUGAGGUAAUAAGCUGCUGGCACCGAGUUCUCAUCCCGACAAUACCACUCUUCCAGUAACUUGGUCUCCAGCUUCGCCUCUACGGCAGCAUCCAAAAUCAUUUCAAACUCUGACGCUUCAACUUCUCCAGGGAUUCGGAUGUUCCCAUAUUUUUCACCUAAUAGUCCCUGUGUAUCACCAAGAAAGUUCAGCUUAGUGUAUCACCAAGAAAGUCCAUUUCAGUAUUCAUAUCAUAUGGCCACUCAAUAAAUAUUAAUAAAUAGAUAACAAGA